rnacentral:snRNA from 1 species
GGAUGGGAAGGUGGUGUGGCUGCAGCACCUGCCGCCAGGGUUCAUUUGACUGAUCUGGCUGGCUAAGCGGAUGUUCCCUUCCUCCCUCACCACUCCCUGUGCGUCCCUCCUGAAGCUGCUCUCACGGUGGAAGAGGACCACCACCCCAGCAGAGGAGUACCUUUUCUCGGACAGGGGCAUAGGAAGAGCUGUGCUCCCCUGCUGGAUCUUCCAAACAAGCUCUCAAAAAAAAAAACAACAAACCAGUAUGGACGUUGAAAAUUACUUCUUAAAGUACAAAUGGGAUAGGAAUCCCAUUUGUACUUU